CUCUGCAGCUCCAUAGUGAAAGUGAGGCUUCUGUUGGGCUGCUGGGUGGGUCUGGGAGUAGCAGGCAGAACUGGAUCGAGGAAGGAGCAGAAACUACAAGUGAGGACCCCAGGUGGUCACUACGUGGCUUCCUCUGCCCCACAGUCUGUGGAACCUGCUUAUUCAGGAGGCCAGGCUGGACCAAACUUCUGAUCUGCCCUCAGCAACUCCAGGGAUGGGCUACACCCUCAGCAAGAAGAAAAAGGAGGAAGAGGAGGACGAAGAAGAAGAGGAAGAGGAAGAGGAGGAGGAGGAGGAGGAGGAGGAACCACCAUUCUACAAGGAGACUCAGUUUUGUUUACAUGAUGUCUACAUGUCUGCCUUCCCUGUGCCAGCUUGGGAUCUCCUUUGUGUCCGUCUGGAAUAGCUCUGGUUUUGUCCUGUGUCUUGCUGUGCACACUGCAUGUAUGAGCAGUUUCUGUGUGGGCGUUUACCAUCUUCACCAGUCUUUUCUAUUUUUCUCCCUUUCCCUUUUACUUGUCAUGUAAAAGUGAGAUCACCAAAACCUUAGAUGUAUCAAGAGAGGAAGACAGAUUUUGUAGCUGGCUUCUGGGUCAUGGGUGCUGCUGAGCAGGCUUCAGGUAGAGAUGCCAAUGGGAAUAAGCUAGAAAGGCACAAGCUACUGCAAGAUGGAACCAUUGGGCACACAUGAGACUGUCAGAGAACCUCAGUCGCCUGACGAGACUGCUAACUGCAAGCCAGGGUGCUGAGGCAACAGUCGGGGGUCUACGGGUCCAAGUUGGGAUCUGUGGAGUAUGAGGACCCUGGAUUCAUUAGAAGGCAGGGUUCCAGCAAGUUCAGCGCUCCAGCAAGAAGUAGUUGGUGCUUAAGGGCCUGUAGGCCCAAGGGACUAACCUCUGUAGGAGGUGACAUCAAGAGGAGGAGGGGCUUAGUAUGGAGGGUACAUCAGUUGCUCAAAAACAAUCAAAAGAAAUCAGCGCCUGUGAAAAUUCAGCACACUAAUGCCUAUCAGCAAGCCGGCUGUUUUUAGUCUCCAGCGUUAAUAAACAUGAGCUGCCUGCGCUCA